CUCUCCACAGAGUUUCUGGAUGGAGUGUGGCAAUUGCAAAAGAAUCUUCGUUACAAUAAGUAGCAAUACCAACGUGUGCCCCUUCUGCACGGCACGCAAUGAAGCUUCGCGACCAAUGCUGAGACAGAGGGAACCAAACCGGAACUUCCGUCAGGAUUCUUACGAUUUCGGGAGCAAUCAGCCCAGGGAUAGUGGCCAACCAGGACGAACUCAACAGCAUGAGGAUGACCGCAUCUCCGCACCUGGGGUUAACUUCGAAAAUCUCAAUAUAGUUGCAGACAGCGUAACUUUUAACAUCAAAGGUUGACUACGCAAGCUGCAGAUGAUACCUAGCCAUUUUUAGAAGCAUAGAGACGAGCAUUAAAUCGCUAGCGAUCUUCAUGAGUAAGCCAAGGUCUAGACAUGUGGUUCUUCCAGACCGUCAAGCAAAAAUGACGGAUUUUGUGAAUAAGGUACAUCUAGCUUACUUUGGAAUUAAACUAGGGGACCAGGAUAAGCCAUUCGCUCCCAUUCCUGUUGCAAAACAUGUGUAUAGAACUUACGGGAUUGGAGGAACAAGAAAAGGAAGAGUGUGCCAUUUGGUGUCCCAAUGGUGUGGAGAUAAGGGAAAGAUCACGUUACCGACUGCUACGUUUGCAAGAACCAGCACCAUGUUCAGUACCCUGAUGUUCCUUCUGCCAUAUAACCAGUCCUCCAUGGCCCUGAUCUUCCUGUUCCUGAGCCAAAUAUCACCAUGGAAUCUAGUUCUGAUUCCGAAUCUAGUGACAUAACUAAUACAGCUGAGUGUGGUACAUACAGGCCAGAAGAGGACGACCAACCGGUGCCUUUAACCCAAGCCGAAUUCAAUGACCUGGCACGAGACCUGAACCUCUCCAAGGCGUGUGCCUAGCUACUGGGUUCUCUUCGAGAGAAACGUCUGCUGGCACCAGGAACAACAUUCUACUGGUAUCGAGACCACGAGAGAGAAUUCAGAAAAUUCUUCACGUUUGAUGGAGCAUCUUCACUGGUCUACUACAACAAUAUUGCUGACCUGAUUGAAUUACUUGGUCUGAAGUAUGAUGCUAUGGAAUGGAGACUUUUCAUUAAAUCAUCUAACAGAAGUUUCAAGGCAGUUCUUCUGAAUAACGGAAAUAAGUUUUCAUUGAUCCCUGUUGGGCACUCGGGUGAAAUGAAAGAAUCCAACAAAAGCAUGGAACGUCUGUUGUCUGCUCCGAACUACCUGGAACAUAAAUGGUUGAUCUGUGGAGAUCUUAAAGUUGGAGUCAUCCUAGGACUUUAAGGUGAUUACACAAAGUAUCCAUGCUUUCUCUGCUUAUGGGAUAGCCGUGCUGAUGACCAGCAUUAUAUCAGACGAGAGUGGCCAUCAAGACAAGGAUUAAUACCUGGGUCACACAAUGUUCUGUCCCACCCUCUGGUUGAAUUGAGCAAGAUAUUGCUUCUACCUCUCCACAUCAAACUCGGUCUCAUGAAGAACUUUGUAAAGGCAUAGGACAGGGAAGGCAGAGGGCUUAUUUCCUCCAUCAGAAGUUUCAACAAAAAAGCAUGGAGAAACUCGAGGCAGGUAUUUUUGAUGCUCAAAUAAGGGAACUCAUCAAGGACGCUAGUUUUGAUGAUGCACUGAACCCUGCUGAACUCUCUGCCUGGUUGUCCCUUAAGUCAGUCAUUACAAACUUUCUUGGCAACCAUAGAAGUUCCCAGUAUCAGAAGGUGGUUGAUGAGUUAAUGGAGAAUUUCCGCCAACUUGGUGAGCGCUUGUCAGUGAAAAUGCACUUCCUCCGGUCUCAUCUGGACUAUUUUCCAGAGUAUUGUGGAGACUUCAGUGAAUAACAGGGCGAGCACUUUCACCAAGAUAGUGUUAUGAAGGAACGCUAUCAAGGCCGAUGUAAUGUCAACUUUCUGGCCGAUUACUGGUGGUGCAUGAAGAGGCAUGUAGAGUCUGCUCAGCAUAAACGGAAGUCCCUGAAGAGAUCAUUCAUCCAUGAGUAGCUUCCUUACUUCAUUAUACUCUUCUUGCUAUCUAUUCAAAAUAUUUUGUAAGCCUUCUGUGA